UACCAAGGGAUAUCAAACUCCGAAUGCCGCAGAAAUGAUGUACGGGAGUCAGACCGCACGAGAUAAGUUGGGCGGUCAAAAGGGAAAGAGCCCAGACCUGCAGCUAAGGCCCCCAAGUGUGUGUUAAGUGGAAAAGGAUGUGGGAUUUCAGAGACAACUAGGAUGUUGGCUUAGAAGCAGCCACACAUUCAAAGAGUGCGUAAUAGCUCACUAGUCGAGAGGUCCUGCGCCGAAAAUGUCCGGGGCUGAAACACACCGCCGAAGCUCAGGAACCGCAAGGUUGGUAGAGGAGCAUUCUUAUAGAGGCGAAGCAGUACCGGUNAGGAGCUGUGGAUUUAUAAGAAGAGAGAAUGCCGGAAUGAGUAGCGAGAUGGAGGUGGGAAUCCUCCAGGCCGAAUAUCCAAGGAUUCCAGAGUAAAGCUGAUCUGCUCUGGGUAAGUCGGGGCCUAAGGCGAGGCUGGGAAGCGUAGCCGAUGGACAACAGGUUGAGAUUCCUGUACCGCGCGUUAUCAGAACUGUGGGGACGCAGAAGGACAGCAUGGCCCGGGGAUGGGAAGCCCGGGGCAAGCGGGGUAGGAGUGAGGAAGGCAAACCCGCCUCACAAUCCGAAUCCGUGACGCGGAGCGAAAAGAAGUAGCGAAGCAUGCGAUUCCGGCUGCCGAGAAAAGCCGCUAUUGUGUAACGCGUGCCCGUACCGUAAACCGACACAGGUGGAUGAGGAGAGAAUCCUAAGGCCGGCGGGAGAAGCAUUGUCAAGGAACUCGGCAAAAUGACCCUGUAACUUCGGGAGAAAGGGUGCCGGAGAGAUCCGGCCGCAGAGAAUAGGCUCAAGCAACUGUUUAGCAAAAACACAGGUCUAUGCGAAACCGUAAGGUGAGGUAUAUGGGCUGACGCCUGCCCGGUGCUGGAAGGUUAAGAGGAGGGGUUAGCGGAAACGCGAAGCUCUGAAUUUAAGCCCCAGUAAACGGCGGCCGUAACUAUAACGGUCCUAAGGUAGCGAAAUUCCUUGUCGGGUAAGUUCCGACCCGCACGAAAGGCGUAAUGAUUUGAGCGCUGUCUCGACAAUGCACCCGGUGAAAUUGAAAUACCAGUGAAGAUGCUGGUUACCCGCGCCAGGACGGAAAGACCCCAUGGAGCUUUACUCCAGCUUGAUACUGGGAUCCGGUGCGUCAUGUACAGGAUAGGCGGGAGGCGAAGAAGUGAGGACGCCAGUCUUCACGGAGCCGCUGUUGGGAUACCGCCCUUGAGGUACUGGGUUUCUAACCUGCAUCCAUGACCUGGAUGGGGGACAAUGUCAGGCGGGGAGUUUGACUGGGGCGGUCGCCUCCGAAAGGGUAUCGGAGGCGCUCAAAGGUUCCCUCAGAAUGGAUGGAAACCAUUCGAAGAGUGCAAAGGCAGAAGGGAGCUUGACUGCGACACCGACGGGUGGGGCAGGUAGGAAACUAGGACUUAGUGAUCAGAUGGUAAGAAAGUGGGAUUGCCAUCGCUCAACGGAUUCAAGCUAC
rnacentral:rRNA from 1 species